UGACGCACGACGUGUGAACAACAAACAGUUGUUGGACUUCAACAAGCUAGCGAAGGUAACACCGGACUGAAAGCGCUCCCGCUGCCUUCUCCCGCAGAGAGGGGGACACCCAGGAGACCAGGGCGGUCUGAACAUCUUCGUUUUUCCCUUUUAAUAAUUAGCGCUGCACGUAGCAGCACGUGUUGAGCCGGCACGGCUCCUCCGCGCUAAUGUUAGCCACUGAAACAUGCUCAUUGCUCGGAGUGUGACGCCUGUUUUUUUCCCCAGCGCCGCUGGUCGAGGCUUGUGAUGCACGACAGAGGUUGAGACGCGAGAGCCGCCGUCGGGACUCAGUUUUCUUGACACGGAAGAAUGGACUUUGUCGCGCACAAGCGGACGGGCUCACAUGAAGAAGCGGGCAUGCGAUUGCACACGGGCCUGGACGUCAUUGUUGGACAACAAGUUUAGCAAGCUAGCAGCAGGCUUUAGCUCGCUUUAAUUCAUGCAGAUGAAUCGGUGUUGGUGUCGGGCACUAAGCUCACUGUGCUAGCGUAAUGGAGGCACCCUGAGUGGACUUGUUUGUGUCGAUUGAUUAUAUCCCGAUCCUCCAAAAUACAAUGUGCUGACGACCAAGGAGUGUUUUCAGCUUGCAGCAAUAUAGUGGGCAGAAGUUCUUAAAGUGGUUACCUGCACAGCUCGUAGUUGAGCGAAGUUCUCUGGUUUGGUGUAUGAAUUACUGUUGAAAGAGCAUAGACUUCGUACAGCUGUCACAUAUUUAUGCUAUUGGUUUUUUUUUAUGCACUUUAUAGGGGAUACACCAAAGUUAUUUGCAUAUUCAAAAAAAAAAAAACAUACAGAAUAUAAUUAUCGAUUGCACUUCAAUCCAGUUCAGUCACUAAAAGACCACAGUUUGUUUGUUGCUGUAAGACAAAGGACAUAUUCCCAGGUUGUGUCAGUAUCUAAGCUAAGUGGUUCAGUCUAAGGCUUGAGUCUCACUGGAAAUGAAAACAUGAAUAUCGAGGAGCAGUGUCUAGAUUUGUGCAAUGUCAAAACUAAAAGCAAUGUGGACGGUGAUCACUACACUGCCAACAAUACAGAAGGGAUCACCCCCCGGAUAUCUGAGCUGAUGACGGACAGUAACACGGAAAAGCAGAACAUUGUUUCCACAGAGGCCUCUGAAACCUACCAGAUGCCCCAGCUCACUGACAACCUCCAGACUGCCGAGGAGGAUAACCAUCCGGCGCAGGACACACUUGAAAUUGAUGAGGUCAAUGGGAAUAGAACAAGCAGUGCCUCAGAUGCCCCAACUGUAGUCAAUCCCACUGACUUGAUCUUUUCUAAUGAUGACCAGCACAAAGACAAUGUUGGGGAGGAUAAAAUGAAGGAAGCGUCUGCCAGUGAUCCUGUAAAGAUUGCAGGGGCAGAAGGGGACGAUGGCGGGGACAUGGACAUAGGUGUGGAUCUAAGCCUUGAUGAAAGUGGGGUGUUGGAGGCUGAAUCUUCAAAUGUUAGCACAGUUUCUGACAAUACUUUAGACUCGGAGUCCUCUCCUCAGGAUGUGCUGGCUGCUUGUGAGGCAGAAAGCCAGUCGGACGAAAACCAAGUGAUCAGCACAGAGGCUUCUGGCACCGACCAAGCUGGACUGUAUCCCUCUAUCCAGGAGGGGGACGAUAAACACAAACCAAGCGGCAAAAGGGUGACAUUUCCCUCGGAUGACGAUAUCAUCUCUGGAGCAGUGGAGCCCAAGGAUCCCUGGAGACACGCUCAGAAUGUGACGGUGGAGGAGAUCGUCUCUUCUUACAAGCAGGCCUGUCAGAAACUCAACUGUAAACCCAUGCCCAAAGUGCUCAAACAGAUACAGGAACUGAAAGACCUGACGCAGCGAAAUGAAUGCUUGGAUCUGAAAGGCGAGAAGUUGGACUACAAAGCCUGCGAGUCCCUGGAGGAGAUUUUGAAGAGGGUCCAGUUUAAAGUGAUUGACCUGGAGCAGACCAACCUGGAUGAAGAUGGGGCUUCAGCUCUCUUCGACAUGAUUGAGUACUACGAGUCGGCCACGCAUCUCAACAUCUCCUUCAACAAGCACAUUGGCACGCGGGGAUGGCAGGCCGCAGCGCACAUGAUGAGGAAGACGAGCUCUCUGCAGUACCUGGACGCCCGUAACACUCCCCUGCUGGACCACUCGGCUCCCUUCGUAGCCCGGGCGCUCCGGAUCAGCGGCAGUCUGGCCGUCCUCCACCUGGAGAACGCCGGCCUGUCUGGCAGACCGCUCAUGUUACUGGCUACGGCUCUGAAGAUGAACAUGAACCUGCGGGAGCUGUAUUUGGCAGACAACAAGCUCAACGGACUGCAGGACUCGGCUCAACUGGGCAACUUGCUCAAGUUCAACUACAACAUUCAGAUUCUGGACCUGCGCAACAACCACAUCCUGGACUCUGGACUGGCCUACGUGUGCGAAGGACUAAAAGAGCAGAGGAAAGGCCUCGUCACUUUGGUGCUAUGGAACAACCAGCUCACACACAACGGCAUGGGAUACCUCGCCGCUGCGCUGCCAUGCACGCAGAGCCUGGAGACUCUGAACCUCGGCCACAACUCGGUGGGGAACGAAGGCGUCCACAAGCUGAAAGACGGACUGAUCGCCAACCGCUCAGUGCUCCGACUGGGCCUCGCCUCCACCAAGCUGUCCUGCGAAGGCGCCGUGGCUGUGGCCGAAUUCAUCGCGGAGAGUCCCCGACUCCUGCGCCUGGAUCUUCGAGAGAACGAGAUCAAGACGGGCGGCCUGAUGGCACUGUCGCUCGCCCUGAAGGUCAACACAUCUCUGCUGCGUCUCGACCUCGACCGAGAGCCCAAGAAAGAAACGGUGAAGAGCUUCAUUGAAACGCAGCGUGCCUUGCUGGCUGAGAUCCAGAACGGCUGCAAGAGAAAUUUCAUCCUCGCCAAGGAGAAAGAAGAGACGGAGCAGAAGAUGAGGCAGUCGGCCUCCAUGGCCGAGAUCGCGACUGAGGACGGAACCAGGGAGGAUGCUGAGGAGGAAGGAGCGUCUGAAGUGAAGGUCGACGGGGAAAGUAAAGAGGAGGAGGGAGCGGGGAAGGAAGCACAGAGCAGCCAGUCGGCGGCGAGUGCUGAGCCGCACGCCCCUCCGCCGACCCUGGAGUCCGACUCCGAUACCGAGGAUGAGGAGGAAGUAGAAGUAGUGACGCAGUCUUCUUCCACUUCGAACUCCCCCGCUCCUGAGUCGCAGCCCCCCCUCAGUUCCUCCUGUCUGUCCUCGCCUUCUGCCUCGCCCGCCGGAGCGCCUGGUCUCAUUUUAGGCAUCACUGUGACCGAGUCUCCAGCUCCUCCCGGCACCCCUCCGUCUCCGGGCCGCUGCAUAUCGGUCUCCAGCCCGGGUCGGGGUCAUAAGAUCUUCAUGGUGACCAGGGUGGAGAGCCCGCCCGAGCCGCUGCUGACCAGCGCGCCGGCAGCUCCCGCCCAGACUAAAGACGCCUCAAAGAAGCCCGCAGACGCGAACACGUCCGCCGCACAGCCGGCGCCACUCGCUUCACAAACACUACUGACGCAAGAGCACGUGAAGGGGGCGUCGCCGGCGCCGACGGACUGCCAAAAGGCAGAGCAGAGUCCCGUAGCACGCACAGAGUCGACACUAAAGACCACAGAACCGCAGGCGACGCCUCAGCCCACCGCCGAGGCGACACGUCCGAGUUCACAAGCACCAGCACAGCUCUCCUUCUCCUCUGCAGCGCCGGACGCAGCGCCUCAGCCCGCUGAAGAGGCAGCAGAGCGCUCCGAAGAGCAAGAGACGGAGGACGACAGGCCGUCAGGACUAAAGCCAGCCCAGACCAGUUUACAGUUUAAAGUAUCGGGGUCUGUACCUGAAGAGCUGGACGGUGAGCCAGCAGGCGCUGCAGAGGAGGUUCAGCCACCAAACCAAACCAAAAAGACCCAGCAGGAGGAGGAGGAGGAGCACACGCCGGUCAGCUUAUCAGAAAAGAACGAACCGAGUUUAGAGGAGCCAAGCCAAGAGGAAACGAGGCUAAAGCAGCAGCAAACGGAGGCUGAAGAUGAACAGGAAGCAGAGUCUGGUUUUUCUGUCAUUCCGUCUGCCGCUCAUCCCCAAGCAGCAGAGACCUCAGAGAGCCCCGACCCCCCGCCUGAGGGGCAUCCAGACGCAGUGGCUGAGCAGGAGGAGGAAGAAUCAGCUGACGAGAGCUCCGCAGACGAGGGUGAGUGUUUCGCCGAGGCUCUAGAAGAGGAGAUGGCCAGUUCGGCUCUGCCCAACGGCCUAAAGCCAGAGUUCUCCCUCCAUCUUCUAGACACAGAAAGCCCCAAACCCGGCAGCUGUGUGAUGGAGCACGUGAGCGUCAGCUGUGGGCAGGACCUGGAGGAGCUGCUGCUAGAAGCCAGUUUGGAGACGGGGAAAGACGCACCUUGAGGCAGGAACCGCCUGGACACGUGAAAACGGCCCUCGGACAGUUCGUCAUGCUCGACUCCGUGACCAGACGCCCUACAAUGUUUUUGUUGUUUCUUUACUACCGACUCAACAGAGAAACCCGACCUAACAGUGAAAAGCUCCGAAUAUGAAAAUACUGACAGACGGCGAAGACGCAGAGGACGAACCGCCUGUGUCCGAGCUCAACAGCGACGAUACGGAUCCUUCACAUCAACACUACAUCAACCACUGGAACACAGAGUUUAUAGGAAGAGGGUGGGGAAUAAAUAGUCACUACAUUUUAUCGAUCUGCAGGUUCUCCUGUGAGACGGAAGAGAGACGAGAUCAAAGCACUAACCAAAGACAGAACGCGGGUGUUUCUCACAGCGCUCGCUCUCUUCUGCCAGGAUCCACAAACAAGCAAUUCUUAGAUUUUAUUCACGGCGCACAGCUGCAGGGACACGGCGGUGACGGUGUGGAAUGUGGGGUUCGCACGGCGGGUGGCCCCCGCCGAGCUCCCGCGACGGGAGGUCGAGACUUUUAUAUCCGAGGUGGUGGAAGCGAAGGUGUCUGUCUCAGCGUCCACUUGCCCCUCGGCUCCGAAAUGAACACUCUAAGGGACCUCUGCCAAAGUGACCUCGCUCCGGUCUGUCUCCUCGUCCUCUGUUCACUUUGGCCCCUCAGGAAUACCCCGCCCCGACCCGCCCCAUCAGGAGGAGGAGCCGCCGCCGUUUCUCCUGAAACGCUUUCUGAGAGUCACAUCUGCAGACUCCUGUUUGUGCUGUGUAACCAGCCGUGGUUCCCGUCUCCGUCACUGCCCCGCCUCCCGGUCUUCUGCUGGUACCUGCUGCCAUCCCACCGCUGUUCAUCACUCAUGUUGCCUUCCGUCUCACCGACUCGUAUUCAGUUUCUUCUUUUUUAAAUUAGGCUGCUUUGGAGAAAAAAAAAAAAAAUCAGUUUUGUAUUUAUUUUAUAGCUGAAUGAGCCUUUCUGAUUUAUUUUACCCCACUUCUCCAUCUUGUUUUUUCUUUCUAUUCAGGAGUCAUCUUUUAAUGAUGAUCCUGUUUUGAUGUACAUUUCAUACACAAAUUAGAGCAAAUAUUUACUUUUUUUGGGGAGGGGGGUAAUCUGUAAUGGUGAGGAAAGGUAAAUAUUGACUCCUGGUAGCAGUCGGGGUGCAAUAAUGAGAAAAAAAACACGAGGAACCAUCAAACUAUAAGGGUCCUCGCCCUCUUUGCUGUUUUAAAGCUUCUCUGCUGGGUGGGCCUGUGGCCACAGGGGGGCGCUGGCGUGGAAGUUCCUCCAGACCUGAGGGAUCAAACUCCAAACAGCACUCUUGUGCUCAUAUCUGAUCGACCCCUGCCCUGGGAUUUGAACCCGCAGCAGGCAGACGUACUGUGUUUGCUUCAUGUGUGUCUGUGCAGAGAGCCACUUUCCCCUGCUUCCCUUUUUAUUUCACACACAUGCGAGAUGUUUUUUUUCCUUCUUGCUGGAGCGCCGCUCAGCCCUCCUGCUGUCCUCCACCCAACAGAGUUUGCCCCCACUGUUUGUAAUGCUUUAAUUUUUAGAAAUUUUUAAUAAUUUGUUAACUUAAUUGAAAUGUGCUGGUAAUCACAGAUAUGUAUGGCGAAAUUUGUUCCUCUCCAAUAAAUGCAUGUACUGACGACUUGUAUGACUGAAUGUUUCAAUGAAGGGACUCGGUUUAGGCUUUCAGAAUAACUUUUUUAUGGCUUAUACCAGAACCUGCAUAGAACGUUUGGUUUCUAUUUGGUUUUUUGGGGGAUUUUAAUGUGUUUGAGAAAGGAUCAUAUAUUAGAGCUGCAUUGAAACUCUGUUUUUUGGAAAUUACUCAAAAUUCAGUUCGUAAAAGAUCUUAAACUAACUAGGUAGUUUGCCAUGUAUAUACUGGUCAUGAUGGUGGCUCCCAUGAAUUCAGUCUAUUGUCAAAUCACAAUAAAGUUUUGUCAUAAGUUAUUUAAAAAAAAAAGAAGCAAGAAAUAAAAAGGAACAUUUAAGAGCAGCCAGAUAU